rnacentral:rRNA from 1 species
GAUGGACGCUGGCGGCGUGCCUAAUACAUGCAAGUCGAGCGAACAGACGAGGAGCUUGCUCCUUCGACGUUAGCGGCGGACGGGUGAGUAACACGUAGGUAACCUACCUAUAAGACUGGGAUAACUUCGGGAAACCGGAGCUAAUACCGGAUAAUAUUUCGAACCGCAUGGUUCGAUAGUGAAAGAUGGCUUUGCUCUCACUUAUAGAUGGACCUGCGCCGUAUUAGCUAGUUGGUAAGGUAACGGCUUACCAAGGCAACGAUACGUAGCCGACCUGAGAGGGUGAUCGGCCACACUGGAACUGAGACACGGUCCAGACUCCUACGGGAGGCAGCAGUAGGGAAUCUUCCGCAAUGGGCGAAAGCCUGACGGAGCAACGCCGCGUGAGUGAUGAAGGUCUUCGGAUCGUAAAACUCUGUUAUUAGGGAAGAACAAACGUGUAAGUAACUGUGCACGUCUUGACGGUACCUAAUCAGAAAGCCACGGCUAACUACGUG